rnacentral:rRNA from 1 species
GUCCACGCCUAACUAUGGAUACUCGACAUAUGCGAUACACUGUAUGUGUCUGAGCGAAGCAUUAAGUAUCCCACCUGGGAAGUACGUUCGCAAGAAUGAAACUCAAGGAAUUGGCGGGGUCCGCACAAGCGGUGGAGUAUGUGGUUAAUUCGAUGAUACGCGAGGAACCUUACCUGGGCUAGAAUGCUGGGAGACCGCUAGUGAAAGCUAGUUUGUAGCAAUACACUGCCAGUAAGGUGCUGCAUGGCCGUCGU